rnacentral:rRNA from 1 species
GAUGAACGCUGGCGGCGUGCCUAAUACAUGCAAGUCCAGCGAACCGGGGACGGGUGAGUAACACGUGGAUAACCUCCUAUAAGACUAGGAUAACUUCGGGAAACCGGAGCUAAACCGGAUACUUAAAGAUGGAUCUGCUCUGCAUUAGCGAGUGGGUAAGGUAACUGCUUACCAAGGCAACGAUGCAUAGCCGACCUGAGAGGGUGAGCGGCCAGACUGGAACUGAGGCACGGUCCGGAAUCCUGGUGGAGGCAGGAGUAGGGAAUGAUCCGCAAAGGGAGAAAGCCUGACGGGGCAACGCCGCGGUAGUGAUGAAGGUCAUCGGAUCGUAAAACUCUGUUAUUAGGGAAGCGGUACCUAAUCAGAAGGCCGCGGCUAACUACGUGCCAGCAGCCGCGGUAAUAC